ensembl:lincRNA
AUGAAGAAGACAUCUGAGCACACUUUUUAUCUGGGGCCCAGUUCCCAUGGGCUCAACCUUUUAUCAUCUCUUCUCCAAUCUGGAUACCCAUCAUCAUCCAAUAUUUGGGACCAAUCCAAGAAUUUAUCCAUCCAUCCAUCCAUCCAUCCUUCAUGCACUCAGGUAUUCAUCUGUUCGUUCAACAGAUACUUAUUGAGAUCCACCCAUCUGCCAUGCUGGGAAAGUGCAGGGGCCAUGGUGUUGAGCAAAACCUUUCUGAACUAAAACUUGCAAACAAUUGAAGACACAGAUUUUACACUGAGCAAAGAAAUAAAUGCAUUAUUACAACUUGCAACAGGGGAGGGGAAGGAAAAGAACAGAGUGCUCUGACAAGAAGCUACAGGAAGGGAGGGCAACAGGAGGCUGAAGGAGAGAUGAGGGAUGAGAAAGAGUCACCAGGGUAGAGAUGGAAGAUGGAGUAAGGUCUCCAUGUUGGUGUCCAAGCCUGGAGCAGGGCAGAGUCUGCUCGUGGAAGCACUGAGAGGAGCUGAGGGUGUGUGUGUGUGGGGGGCGGGGGCUGUGCUCUUUUUUCCUCCUGCCCUUCCUCUGAUGUCAUAUUGUAACCCACCAAUGUCUUUCUUAAAGCUGGUGUCCAGAGAGCAAGGCAGCAUCCUUGGAGAGGACAGAUCCAUAAAGACGUAACCAACUGCUUCUUCCUUGGUUCCAGACAUUAUGUUUUCAGCACAAAAGCAGUGAUAUGAAUUUUACCUUAAUCUUCUAUGGGGCCCUUGCAGUUUCCACUUUACCAGAAAAUAACCAUCCAAGCUAAAUAGAUCUGGAGCUGUGAGAAAUCCAUGUUUUGAGACUCCAAAUCCAUCACAGUGGCUGGGGAAACAACGAGAACUCGGGGGCUUCUGAUAGCAGACCCAGAGCUCAGAUUCUGCAGCGAGGGGCUAGGUCAUGGUGGCCCUUUUGGCAACUGAGGUUCACUCUGUGCAUCUGGCCAGAAUGGGGAAACAGGGAUGAAGUGAAAAGAGAGAGAACUUGUGGCUAAGGGACCCAGCUCCAAGGACUUAUGUGUCAUUUACCAAUAGUGCAUUUCUAUAGCUGCAGGUCCUCAUCUACAAGGGGGCAGGUGAUAACCGGGGCCUCGCUGGGGAGGAUUACAUGAGAUCAUCAGUAAACAUGCUUGUGACCUGCUAAGUCGACUGCACACUUUCAGCUGCCUCUUCCUUGGCAAAGACAAUCAGAAAGAGCAGCAUCAUCUCUGCCUCAUUAAUAUCAGGAACUGUUUGUAUCUCUUGGAAAAUCACUUGUUUGCAAAAUUUGUCUGUCUUUGUAAUCACAGUGUAUGCUCACAGCCCUGUUUGGGUUACUAAGAUGAUUGCAUAAUAUGUCUUUUAUAGUAAUUGUCUCAUUUCAGCAAAAAAAAAAAAAAAAAAAAAAAGGCAUAAUAUUUCCCUAGUUCCCUGGGUCUUCAGUACCUGGGCAGAAUUUGCCUCAUUAUGGCAAUUCUCCAAGCAGAGGUAUUUUCCUGAAUUUAUCCACUCUGAUCACCAGAAUAGUCACUUUAAUAGUCAUGGUCAGGUAUCCACAUAGAAUAACACCUAGAAAGGGAGUAUUCCUUCACGCACUAGGUAAAUGUGUAUUGAGUAUUUGCUCCACUUACCAUGCUACACCCUGGGGAUAUACUGCUGAACAAGACAGAGCCUAUGUUCUCAGGAAGUUCCUAAUAGAUUUGAGGAAUUUUUUUUUUCAAGAACACAGGCAAUUUCUUUAGAAGGCCGUGGGUAUAAGAAUGGGCUAAAUAUCGAACCACAAGGGAACAAAUGAUAAAAGGAUGGGGGUGAGUAGGUGGGAAAAUCAGAAAAGGCUGCAGAGAAUAACACACAUUUUAAAGAGACAAAGAUACAUUCCAUUGUACAGGUUAAACACAUAUUAAGAGACUGCCAGUUGAUCCUGAUGAGCAUCCCAUUCCCUUACAGUAACUGUAACACUUCAUAGCAAGUAUUACACAAGAGAACAGAAUAGUCUGUAUCCUUGCCCUGACCAUCUGUGCUGAAUGGUCAGCUUCCUUCCCCGAGGUAUGUACUGCCAACUGUUAGAAGUUACUAGUCUUUGCUUGGGAAUCCAGGUGUACUGUCAGGAUCAGAUGCAGGAAAACAGAAUCAGGCCAGAUAUUUUAUGCAGUAAAGGAUUUAAUGCAGAGAAUUAGGUAUUAGAAAGAUGGACCCAAGGCACAGCCACAGCAACUGCCUCUCCACCUGCAAUGAGAGUGACCAUCCAGUGGCAAGCUGAGUAGGUUAUUGCCACUAAUACAUGGCUGCCUUCUGACACCCAGGAAGUGAGUGUGGGGAUGCUAGGGCACUGUGACAGAAAAGCUUAAUUUCUCAGAGCCAUGCUUGUGGCAGCCACAGACUUAACAUCAGGAGAAACCACCCAGCUCACUUUUGCCUUCCCAAAGAUGCCCAGGUGCAUCUAAAUGAAGGGAGAAAUUUGCACCUGGAAAAUGGUUGCACAGGAGUCUGGGGAAUGUAACUGUUAGGGACCAGAGUCUACACUAGAGGAAGGCACUGGAGAAGAGAAGAGGACUGGGAUGGUGGAGCCCAAGCCAUGCCUUCCACCACACUGAGGAAUGGCAGGCCCCCUGGUUUCCUGCAACCAACCCAGGUUCUUUCUCUGCAUCCUUCGUUGAGGUGCAAGUCUUUGUGGAAGUGUUUAUUUGAUUACUGGGAUAUCUACAGCCACCUUGAGGCAAGUAUUUAGACCAUUACUAGCUACAUGAGCUUCAGUUCAGUUCAGUCGCUCAGUCGUGUCCAACUUUUUGCGACCCCAUGAAUCGCAGCACUCCAGGCCUCCCUGUCCAUCACCAACACCCGGAGUUCACUCAAGCUCAUGUCCAUCAAGUCGGUGAUGCCAUCCAGCCAUCUCAUCCUCUGUCGUCCCCUUCUCCUCUUGCCCCCAAUCCAUCCCAGCAUCUGGGUCUUUUCCAAUGAGUCAACUCUUUACAUGAGGUGGCCAAAGUAUUGGAGUUUCAGCUUCAGCAUCAGUCCUUCCAAUGGACACCCAGGACUGAUCUCCUUUAG